rnacentral:miRNA from 1 species
AUGAUGAGAGGGGAGGAUGGAAGAGAGGAGUAACAAAAGUGAAAACAAUUUGAAAUUGAUUUCAGUUUUUAGUUUUUGUUUUCAGUUUUGUUACUCCUCCCUCCCAUCCUCCCAUCUUAUCUUUCU